rnacentral:rRNA from 1 species
GAUGAACGCUGGCGGCGUGCUUAACACAUGCAAGUCGAGCGAAGCGCUUUGAAUUUUUCGGAAUGAGAAGUGACUGAGCGGCGGACGGGUGAGUAACGCGUGGGUAACCUGCCUCAUACAGGGGGAUAACAGUUAGAAAUGACUGCUAAUACCGCAUAAGCGCACAGUACCGCAUGGUACGGUGUGAAAAACUCCGGUGGUAUGAGAUGGACCCGCGUCUGAUUAGCUAGUUGGUGAGGUAACGGCUCACCAAGGCGACGAUCAGUAGCCGACCUGAGAGGGUGACCGGCCACAUUGGGACUGAGACACGGCCCAA